CUUGGUUCCUGUCCUGCUCAGGCUCACAGAGAGUGGCGAGUUGCCUUACUGGUGAAUGGCUUCCCAGAGACCAGGAAGAUAAGCUGUGAGGGGUGCCACCGAAUCAGCACCAGAACUGAAUAAGAGCUCCAGCACCUGGUCUUGCUUCAAUCCCAAGUGGAAUGGACUCUAGGUCUCGCCU
rnacentral:lncRNA from 1 species